AUUGAACGCUGGCGGCAGGCCUAACACAUGCAAGUCUAGCGAGCGGCGGACGGGUGAGUAAUUUCUUGGAAACUGCCUGAUGGAGGGGGAUAACUACUGGAAACGGUAGCUCAUACCGCAUACCAUCAGAUGUGCCCAGAUGGGAUUAGCUAGUAGGUGGGGUAACGGCUCACCUAGGCGCCGAUCCCUAGCUGGUCUGAGAGGAUGACCAGCCACACUGGAACUGAGACACGGUCCAGACUCCUACGGGAGGCAGCAGUGGGGAAUAUUGCACAAUGGGCGCAAGCCUGAUGCAGCCAGGCCGCGUGGGUGAAGAAGGACUUCGGGUUGUAAAGCACUUUCAGCGGGGAGGCGUUACCCGCAGAAGAAGCACCGGCUAACUCCGUGCCAGCAGCCGCGGUAAUUC
rnacentral:rRNA from 1 species